UACGAGGGGGGCGAGCGUUGUUCGGAAUUACUGGGCGUAAAGCGUGCGCAGGCGGUCUGUUAAGACCGAUGUGAAAUCCCCGGGCUUAACCUGGGAACUGCAUUGGUGACUGGCAGGCUUUGAGUGUGGCAGAGGGAGGUAGAAUUCCACGUGUAGCAGUGAAAUGCGUAGAGAUGUGGAGGAAUACCGAUGGCGAAGGCAGCCUCCUGGGCCAACACUGACGCUCAUGCACGAAAGCGUGGGGAGCAAACAGG
rnacentral:rRNA from 1 species